rnacentral:tRNA from 1 species
GCGGCUGUGGCGGAAUUGGCAGACGCGCUAGAUUCAGGUUCUAGUGGGCUCACCCCCGUGGAGGUUCGACUCCUCUCAGCCGCA